GAAACCUCCCCACAAGUACUUGGAAAAAUAGCUAAGCAGGGUUGUGUUUGGCCUGCUGCCAGCUUCAUUUUAUGGCUGAUUUCAAUGCCUGCCCUGCUUUGUGCUCCACCAAGAAGGAAACCAGUUGCCCACACUAAGCAAAGCAUGACACACCACAGAAUUAUCCUCCAGCCUAGUGGGUUUGCAGAGUUGUAGCCUGUGGAGGAAGGGCCUCAGUCCACAGCUUCCUCUGUGUGUGUGUGUGUGUGUGUGUGUGUGUGUGUGCGCGCGCGCGCACACGUGCGCACAUGUACAGUCACCAUUAGUUUAACCCCAGAAUGGACAGGGUCCGCACAUCCCCACCCUGGAACUCAUGUUCCUCUAGGACACUCAGUUUUCUGUGUCCCUCCCUGCUGAACCUGCCUCUCCAGAAAAGCCCAAAGACGACAGCUUUUUCACCUGUGAACUAUAAGUGUAAGCCCUGGACCUCUCCUCCCAUGGCAGUCCCUUGGAACUAGUGACUUAGUCUCUUAACCUGUUGCAGCUCUGUUCCCCCACCCCCAGUGCCACAGCACCUUGUCAAACACAGCUCCUUGGAGGGACACCGAAAUUGGCUUGAGGCAGUUUUCCUGGCAUUUGUGUGGCUCCCUGGUACUGCUGUGGGAGUUUGGUAUUUUAUGAGAUGUCUGCAUGUGACCUUGUUAAGCAGUUCCAGCUGGAACGGACAUUAGCUUGACUCAGCUAGCCAUGUGACAUUUUGAUGCGGACCUUGGUGACAAGAAAGCUUCCGGAGAAGCCAGCACAGCCCUCCUGGCCCAGCCGUGUGGAUGUGGAGUGUUGCCCUCAGCUCCUGUGGACCUCAGUGACUGUCUGUCCAGCUGCAGCUUCUUCCUUUCUGUUUGUUCAUACUGUCUGUUUGUAUGGUAGCAUUAGCUGAUGUCACUGUGUACAUAAAUGGUACCUUUUUUUAAUUUGUAAAGGUCUAUUUUUAUUUGGCCCUUUGGAAGGUGGACGUUCUUGUGGUCACUCUUAAGUCAGAAUAAAAUGUCUGCACCUUCUCUGUAG
rnacentral:lncRNA from 1 species